GCCUGCGUGGUGUAGUGGUUUGAGUGCUGGACUACAACUCUGGAGACCUGGGUUCGAUUCCCCACUCAGGCA